AUCUACAGGCCUUCUAAUUUAGAGAUCUGGACAACAAAGAGAAGUGAGCUCCAUUACAGGCGAAGAUAAAGAUUGAAAAUCAAGCAAGUCCAAACUCUCCGAUGAGGUCAGAGGCUUCACCAAGCUUCUAUUCAGCCAAAGCCCGGACCACUAAAACAUGACUGGCAACAUAACAGACAUGCAAAGAUAUGGAAAAGCCUUAAGGAGAGAGUUCUGGCAUCACUCAAACUGGAGUUUCCAUCCUGGUCCUACCACUUAGGAGCUAUGAGUUUCUGAACUCAGGUUUCUGCAUCUCUCCAAUUUCACUGAUGAGGAAACUGAGACCUGGCAUUAUUCAGCUUCCACUGUCAUUACACCAUAGUGGAUACCAGCACAGUGUGGAAUCAGACUGCAUUUGUUUGGAUCUCUGCUCUUCCAUUUACCAGCUGUGAAAUCUUGGGUUUCUGGGUCAAUUUAAAGUAUCCUGAAGCUGCAAGAGCACUUCCAGUCCGUGGCAACUGCAGAUGAACCAGAGGACAGCCUUCUCUAGCAAAUCAGUGAAUGAUUUAUAAUCCUAUGUAUUUAAUUGUAUAUGUUCUCUUAUUCCAAGAGAAGGGGGC